rnacentral:rRNA from 1 species
UACGAACUGUGCGAACGUUAUUCGGAAUCACUGGGCUUACAGGGUGCGUAGGCGGCUUGUUAAGUAGGGUGUGAAAGCCCCCGGCUCAACCGGGGAAUUGCGCCCUAAACUGGCGAGCUGGAGUGAGAUAGGGGUGUGUGGAACUUCCGGUGGAGCGGUGAAAUGUGUUGAUAUCGGAAGGAACGCCGGUGGCGAAAGCGACACACUGGAGCUUGUCUGACGCUGAGGCACGAAAGGCAGGGGAGCGAACGGG